GUGAGUUCCAUCUCUUAGAGAGACUGUUGUUGAAGAGAGCAUUCAAAGCCUUGCUGAAGUCAAUGUAAAUAAUAUCCAUGUGCUCCCUUCAUCUGUCCACCAUUUUUUCCGUUACAGAAGGCUAUCGGAUUGUUAUUGCAGUGUUCAUCUUGGAAAUAGAACAACAGUUACUGUGAAGCUAGAUUUGUAAACCUGAAGUAAUGGUCUGUUUUCUUCUACAAGAGACUCUCACUUUAAGUGACAGAGCAUAAGAACUGGGAAGAACAAGGUAAUGCAGAGAGAAUAGUUCUAAAGAAGGAAGUAAACUAUUCACUCCCCACAUCAGACUCCCAUAAGCGACACAAAGACACAGUCUUGAUAGCCAGCUUUGUCCUAGAUUUUGUACUUUGACUGGAGCAGGGCUUGGAAAAUAUCUGCUUUUCUUUAGGGGGAGGAUAGAAAGGGAACAUUCAUUGUUGUAUUUAUAUUAAAUGAAACAUAUUUAUAUUAAAUGAAAAUGCUUAAUUAACAUUUGUUUAAUUGCAUUCGUAGUUCAACUUCUAUCUACUACUUUCCCUGCCUUUUUUAUAUUCCAAAUCUUGGUUAGUAACAUAGAGGUCAUUUGUUGCUGAUUUUGAUUUUCUCAUCAUGAAAUGUCUUUACUGCUAAGCUAUGGAUGCCAUUUAUUUUACAUGCAGUAGAUACUUUAUUGCUUUGUAACUUUACAGUAGAAACUGCACAUAAUGGUUAAGAUCAUUAUCUCUUUUCAGCAUAUUCACAUGUGAAUAGAGACCUGGUAAUCAACGGUUGGACUGGAUGAUCUUAGAGAUAAUUGAGCAAAUUUGUAGUCAAAAGUAUUUCAGAGUCAUCAACACAAGGCAGGUAAGUCCUGAACAUUUCGUUCAUCCUGUUUGGAUAGAUGUAACAGAUAAUGGAAUUGAUGUGCUGGUUAGAAAUGAACUAUGGUGCAUGUCAUAUAAAUAGAUAUAUGGUUUGCAGACUUUUUUCUGUUACUGGUCUAAAUCUAGAGAUAUACUAGCUGUUACCUUUUUACUGAGGUCAUUCCAGAAGUAGUGUCUCCUCUUUAUUUCCAUGGAAACUACAACAGAUGCAAAGAGCAGAAUAACAUUGUUUGAUAGACCAAAUUCUUGGCUACCAAGCACUAUUUUUCAACAUAGUCGCAACUAUUAGCUGGUUCAUGCAAAUGAGCUGAUCAGAAUACUCUUCAUUUCAUGAUAUGAUA
rnacentral:lncRNA from 1 species